rnacentral:lncRNA from 10 species
UGUGGCUUUUAUUAGACCACCCCAUCAACACAGAGAGAAGACAGCCAUUUGCUACAUAUAAUUCAAAAGAAUUUCUUCAAGACUUUUUUGAGUCUCAGCAGAUGAUCUUAUCUCCUGCUACAUCUAGAAAAUGGAAGCCAUCAGACUCCAUCUUCUCACCACUGAGGCUACAAAAGAUAUCUACACCUGCAACCCUUUCCCUUUUUUUCUUCUUCCCUUUUGUUAUGAUGUAUAAAGUGUCCCUUAUCCAAUAAAGAGCUAAUCAUUCUGCUUGGGGUUGUAGCCCCUUCCCUCUUACUUCAAGGACUUCAAUGCUCCCUUCUCCUGGAAAUAGCCUCCUCCCUCAGCUUCCCUGAAGCCACACCCUGCUGAAUUUUUACCUACUAAAUUAUCCCUGCUCUCUCUUCUUACUUCGUUUCCAGGAUUCCCUCUCUGUCUCAGAUCUAUCAGUGUUGGAGGCCAUCUGUGCUUGGUCCAAGGUUCUCUUCUGCCUUUUCUCAGUCCUCACUUCUAGGUGCUCUCAUACAUUCUCACAGCUUUAUAUCCUUUCUAUUUGCUGACAAAUGUCAAAUAUAU